GAUGAACGCUGGCGGCGUGCCUAAUAUAUGCAAGUCGAGCGAAUGGAUUAAGAGUUUGCUCUUAUGAAGUUAGCGGCGGACGGGUGAGUAACACGUGGGUAACCUGCCCAUAAGGCUGGGAUAACUCCGGGAAACCGGGGCUAAUACCGGAUAACAUUUUGAACCGCAUGGUUCGAAAUUGAAUGGCGGCUUCGGCUGUCACUUAUGGAUGGACCCGCGUCGCAUUAGCUAGUUGGUGAGGUAACGGCUCACCAAGGCAACGAUGCGUAGCCGACCUGAGAGGGUGAUCGGCCACACUGGGACUGAGACACGGCCCAGACUCCUACGGGAGGCAGCAGUAGGGAAUCUUCCGCAAUGGACGAAAGUCUGACGGAGCAACGCCGCGUGAGUGAUGAAGGCUUUCGGGUCGUAAAACUCUGUUGUUAGGGAAGAACAAGUGCUAGUUGAAUAAGCUGGCACCUUGACGGUACCUAACCAGAAAGCCACGGCUAACUACGUGCCAGCCGCCGCGGUAA
rnacentral:rRNA from 1 species